UUUUUUGCACCAGGAAAAAUCACUGGCGUAGGGUCCACUGUGGAGCUUGCUAACUUUUUACUUUGCCAAGAAGUGCACUGACAAUGAGGAAACCCACCCAGAGAGGCUGAUUCCUCCAAAUCACAGAGGUCACAAGUAACAGAGCCAGGGAAGAAGGGGCGCCUGAGGGUGAAGGAAAGAACAGCAAGGAUGUGAGAGGCCCAAAGACCGCAGAGAAGAGACUUGCACC